rnacentral:rRNA from 1 species
GUCUACAGCCAUGCCACCCUGAACAAGGCCAAUCCCAUCUGAUCUCGGAAGCUAAGCAGGGUCGGGUCUGGUUAGUACUUGGAUGGGAGACCACCUAGGAAGACCAGGUGCUGCAGGAG